GGGGCCCGCAAUCGUUCAGGUGCUCAUCAUGAGCUCAAUAGGGAACCCCGUGUGAUUCGGGGACGGGCCCGCCGCUGUGAUCGGGGACGAAAGCAGUGUUCAAGCCACUGUUCGCCGGGUGCGAACGGGAAGGCGCUGCCGGUAGAGAGAUCCGAGAGUCAGAAGACCUGCCUAAACGAUGAGCCGCAC
rnacentral:ncRNA from 2 species